UACAGAGGUCUCAAGCGUUGUUCGGAUUCAUUGGGCGUAAAGGGUGCGUAGGUGGCGCGCUAAGUCGGGUGUGAAAUCUCGGAGCUUAACUCCGAAACUGCAUUUGAUACUGGCGUGCUUGAGGACUGGAGAGGAGACUGGAAUUUACGGUGUAGCAGUGAAAUGCGUAGAGAUCGUAAGGAAGACCAGUGGCGAAGGCGGGUCUCUGGACAGUUCCUGACACUGAGGCACGAAGGCCAGGGGAGCAAACGGG
rnacentral:rRNA from 1 species